CGGCUGACGAGCUCCACCUGCCCGGGUUUAUCGUUCGGAGUUUGCUCUCCUAGGCAGAUUGCCUACCACGGCUGACGAGCUCCACCUGCCCGGGUUUAUUGUUCGGAGUUUGCUCUCCUAGGUGAAUUGCCUACCACGGCUAACGAACCUCACCUGCCCGGGUUUGUAAUCGGAGUUUGCUCUCCUAGGUGAACUGCUUUCGCUAACGACCUCCACCUGCCCGGGUUUGUAAUCGGAGUUUGCUCUCCUAGAUGAAUUGCUUUCGCUAACGACCUCCACCUGCCCGGGUUUGUAAUCGGAGUUUGCUCUCCUAGGUGAACUGCUCACGCUAACGACCUUCACCUGCCCGGUUUUAUAAUCGGAGUUUGCUCUCCUAGAUGAACUGCUUUCGCUAACGAGCUCCACCUGCCCGGGUUUAUUGUUCGGAGUUUGCUCUCCUAGGUGUAUUGACUAUGACGGCUCACGAGCCCAACCUGCCCGGGUUUAUUGUUCGGAGUUUGCUCUCCUAGGUGAAUUGCCUACCACGGCUAACGAACCUCACCUGCCCGGGUUUGUUGUUCGGAGUUUGCUCUCCUAGGUGAAUUGCCUACCACGGCUAACGAACCUCACCUGCCCGGGUUUGUUGUUCGGAGUUUGCUCUCCUAGGCAGAUUGCCUACCACGGCUAACGAGCCCCACCUGCCCGGCGUUGUAGCCGAAAGAUCUCCGGCACCUCCGUCGGGGUCCCGAUGGACGCCGAUGCGCCCUGCCGGGAGCCCUCCAGUCCUGCCAUGCUCGCCUGGGAGACCUUGGGC